UCUCUGAACCAUAAAAUGUUUUCAUAAAAUGUGUCCUUUAAAGCUCGAGUAGUAGCUGGGUGUGACAAAUGCUGAAUUGAUCAGAAAUGAUUGAGUGCUUCAGACAUUUCAAUUGAUAUGCUUUUGCUUGGAAUGCAGCACAAAGCCCUUAUUGUGUUUAAUAUUCAUUCGUUCAAAUGUCACUUCUCUUGAGCCACGGCGACGAUCUUGUCAAACAUCUCAUGAGUCUCUCACUGGGAAAUGUGUCACCACUUGUUGAUUUGUCCACACUGCAUCUUUAGAAGCAUAACGUUCACUUAAAAUGUGAGUAGAGUAUGAGAGUAGGCAGAAUGAAAGGAUAUCAUGUAUGAUCUACAAACCCCAUGGUGCCAUGGUAACUAAGAAGUGAAGAGGUGAGUUGUGAACAGGAACAUGGUGAAAGGUUGUUUUUUUUUUUUUUUUCCCCUUCUGCAGCUGCUAUUGUAAGAUGUUUCUCAGAGCACAUUCACUUAUAAAACCAUUUUCUUGGCAGGGUUGUUCAUUCACACCAUGAUUAUUUUCCUUCUUAUUAUUUCUUUCCCCUGGUUUGAAAUCGAAGCCACUUAAUGUUAACAGAGGCGGGAAUCCACUCCUAAGAAGAGAGCAUGUUCUGCAGUAUUUCUUUGACUUUGGUCUGUUUAAUGUAGACCUAGAAAUAACAAACAUUUAUUCAUGUAGGAGCCAAAUUCUGGAGUCAGUGACAUGCUGACAGUGAAUUGGACAUCAGCUUUGCAAAGAGGCACGUGGACUUUUCAUGCAAUAAAAUAAGUCUCAUUUAGAUUGUGAAACAAACCUCCUCUGACGAGUGAAACUGGGUGUGCAGACAUACAGGGAGUCUGAGGUUGGUUUCUGUGCAUUUUAUGAAAUGUAUAUCUACCGUAGAUACCGCGAGCGGCAGACUGCACAAGCACAGGCUGGUUUGCGAGAGAAGAGUGGCAGGAUUUCCUGUGUAAUAAAAACACUUGUCUACGGGGAGUCUGACUGCUGAAGUCUGCUGUCCUGACAUUUGUAUUCUCAAUCCUAAAAGGACAGGGAUGCCCAUCUUAUUUGACCAUGGCUCAUAUUUAUUGUGUUACAGCUGUUGUUUCGCUUUUAUCAAGGGGCCCAGUAUUUCUACUGGCACCACAGAUUAGAAAUCACUUGUGCUUCUGUAGUUUAAAGUUGCCAAAGGGGUGUGAAACACAUCCUGCAUAAGCUGGCACUCUAUCCUAGAAGUCUUGUGUACAUACAAAGACGCUUGUGUGCAUAAUUCCACAUUUCUCUGUGUUCCUUUUUAUUUUUUUGGCUUCUAUCAGACAAGUAGUAAUUCAAAAUGUGUCUGAUACAGUAGAAAACUGAAAAUAAUAAAAACAGUUUCAUCUGUAGGUUGCCUGUUUCCACGCAGCAGCGUCCAUUUUGGAUCUUCUUACCCCGAGGCCGACCAUGCUGCCUCUCACUACAUGGGAUCUUGUGUCCUCUUCACCUUCUCAAUAAUUCAAUGGAAAGAGGAGACGUCAGCUCUGGUAUAAUUACGGUGUGAGGGUGACAAGCUCCUCUGUCAAGGGCAAGAUGGGACCAAGCUUUACAGUACUGGAGAGAGCUAAAAGACACAACAGCAGUGUUAUAUACCGUGACACUGUCGAUGACAAAAGCUUCAGCUACAGGGAGAUGAUGAAACUGCAGAUUGCAGCCCAGAGGAAAACAUUCAGCAGCUGAGGAGCUCCAGCGCAGACAGGUGAUUCGCUUCUAAUGGAUGUUAAUGUGGUGGACACAACUGAGGAUAUUCCCAGUGGUAUACACUUACAGUUAAUUGAUAAUUGAGGUCUAUGAAAAGAUGCACAUUAAAUCAUGGCAAACGAGCCUGCCUAUAAGGUUGCAGCAAUUUAAAGAACAAGUCUCCAGAGUCUCUUAAGGUUUCCCACAACUGAAAUGCACUCUGAAUGAAUAAUUGAGGCCCAAAUAUUGUUAACUUGUAUUACCUUACGUAAGGCAUUGCUAUUUCAAACAUGUAGCAUAUGCAUAAUGUUAUUUUGCAUAAACACUUUCACCUCCGCCAACUCCAGGUUGCUCAGUCCUGUAAUGACUUUCUUGAUGUCUCUUUAUGUUGCUGUUUGAUCAGUACCUUUCCUAAUGAGCCCAUGUGUUGAGAUGUGACUCUGAUUGGCUUGAAUUUAAUGUUUUGCCACAUUUAACAUUAAUAAUCUGCAACGUAUUUUGCUGCCCUUUGCUACUAACUGAUACUAUACUAGAAACAUUUAUCCUACAGUAAGUGCAGUUCAUGAAGGAUUUAGAAUUUUCCACAUGCAUUCCAUGUUUAUAGGUACAAAUGAUGUUUGUUUAUAUUGGCCAGCAUGUUUAAAACAUGCGCCGACUACUACAGUGCUAUCAUCAUGUAUAAUGCUUUUUUUAGCUAUCAGUUGGCCGGGGCACAAUAGUUGAGAUCAUUAUAUUGAUAUGGCUAUUUCUUCAAAAUUAAUCGUAUCAUAAUGCAAAUGUAUGACAAAUCACAAAUAAAAUAAACUGAUGUUCACA